CGGCGAGUGAAGCGGCAACAGCUCAAAUUUGAAAGCUGGCUCUUUUAGGGCCCGCAUUGUAAUUUGUAGAGGAUGCUUCAGGUGCGGCGCUGGUCUAAGUUCUUUGGAACAAGACGUCAUAGAGGGUGAGAAUCCCGUAUGUGACUAGCUGCCUGUGCCUGUGUGAAGCUCCUUCGACGAGUCGAGUUGUUUGGGAAUGCAGCUCAAAAUGGGUGGUGUACUUCAUCUAAAGCUAAAUAUUGGCCAGAGACCGAUAGCGCACAAGUAGAGUGAUCGAAAGAUGAAAAGCACUUUGGAAAGAGAGUUAAACAGUACGUGAAAUUGUUGAAAGGGAAGCGCUUGCAAUCAGACUUGCGCGGCGUCGAUCAACCUGGGUUCUCCCUGGUGCACUCGGCGCUGCUCAGGCCAGCAUCAGUUUCAGCGGUUGGAUAAAGGCCUAGGGAACGUGGGUUACUUCGGUGACUGUUAUAGCCCUAGGUGCAAUGCAGCCUGCUGGGACUGAGGACCGCGCUUCGGCUAGGAUGCUGGCGUAAUGGUUGUAAGCGACCCGUCUUGAAACACGGACCAAGGAGUGUAAUAUUUAUGCGAGUUUUUGGGUGUUAAACCCAUAAGCGUAAUGAAAGUGAACGGAGGUGAGAACCCUUCAGGGUGCAUCAUCGACCGAUCCUGAAGUCUUCGGAUGGAUUUGAGUAAGAGCAUAACUAUUGCGACCCGAAAGAUGAUGAUCUAUACUUGAAUAGGGUGAAGCCAGAGGAAACUCUGGUGGAGGCUCGCAGCGGUUCUGACGUGCAAAUCGAUCGUCAAAUUUGAGUAUAGGGGCGAAAGACUAAUCGAA
rnacentral:rRNA from 1 species